UGAAAAUGUGACUAGGUACGUGCAACCGUUUCACUUGAAUUAAUUAAUUUCACGCGAGGGACUCAUCAGCGUUACAUAAUUUCGCUUAAAAACAUCGAGCAUGUAAUCCAAUAUGUCUUGUCGGAGGCCUUUAUUCAAA